GUUUGUUUGUUUUGUCCUAAUGCCACCUUGCCAAUUAAAAAAAAAAAUGGGAAUUAAAAAAUUGGGAAUGUUUUCUAUACAUAUAUAUUUCUAUGAAGUAACAUGAAAAUAUGAUAUCAAAUUAAAAAAAAAAAAAAAGCUUCUGGGUGAAUAAGGGGUUAUAAAUAUUGCUACAAACAUGAGAUAGUAUUAUUAAGGAACAGUUACGAAGUGAUGCUCUGGGAUUCUUAAACUGGUUUUAUGCUUACUGAUGUUUAGAGACCCAGCAAGAGUUCAUGAUAAGCUAAAGGAUUGAUUAAGCAAAUGUCAAAUAACUUAUUUUGUAGUUCACUAUUAAAGAGAUACAACUUGGUGAAAAAUUUAAAUUUUCUCUAAUUUCAAUGCCUUUUCCAAAAGACUAAUGGUGAGGAAGUAAUAAGGCUUUUGUGGUAGUAAUGGUAUUAGAAAUAUUAGGAGUAUUUAGAAAUAGUAAUAGUGUUUUUAUUCAUGUUUGUAUGUAAAAUAGAUGCAUGGAGAAAAAAGGAGUCAUCUGUGGUGCCGGGGAAGGCUUCGCAUUAUGUGCUGAGCAAUACUCAAUGAAUGAUGAUUCUGAUGUUUUUGCAUGAUUCCUCCCAUAUUAAUAAAAACCAGCUAUUCAAAGGAUCCCUUUGUCUCAAGAGGACUAGAAAGGAAUCUUUCACAAAGAUUUUCUCUCAGUUGUGGUAUUGCUGAUGUCAAGCAUGCAGAAAUCAUGAGUCAGCACUCCAAAAGUCACGAGACUUUAUUAAAAAAAUAUAUCUUUUAAAAUAUAGAUGUGGCACUUUUUGGAGCCUUUGUGUUAAAUGUAUGACAUUCUAUUAUUUUCAUCUGCAACAGGAAAAUAUAUUUGUUGGAACAGAAGUAGAAAAAAGAAGAAAAAGAUGAUCUUUUAAAUAAUUUGCACAACUCCCCAGAGCUGGGUUUGAAGCAAGUUUGGAGCGUUACAAACAUUGCAACGUAAUUGCAGGUGUUGGCAACAUGGCAAUUAUUUGUGAGAACUUUGAUUUAAAUUGAGGUCAAUAAAAACAAAUGAAAAAACUGACUGAAAGAAAAG
rnacentral:lncRNA from 1 species